AAAAUGAGAAAAAGAAGAAAAAAGGCUGCGCACUCAGAUAAAAUUGGAAUAAAAUAAAACUUUUUUAUUUUAUUCCAAUUUUAUCUGAGUGCGCAGCCUUUUUUCUUCUUUUUCUCAUUUU